rnacentral:rRNA from 1 species
GAAUAUUGCACAAUGGGCGAAAGCCUGAUGCAGCGACGCCGCGUGGGGGAUGACGGUCUUCGGAUUGUAAACCCCUUUCAGUAGGGACGAAGCGCAAGUGACGGUACCUGCAGAAGAAGCACCGGCUAACUACGUACCAGCAGCCGCGGUAAUACGUAGGGUGCGAGCGUUGUCCGGAAUUACUGGGCGUAAAGAGCUCGUAGGCGGUUUGUCACGUCGUCUGUGAAAUCCCUCGGCUUAACCGGGGGCGUGCAGGCGAUACGGGCAGACUUGAGUACUACAGGGGAGACUGGAAUUCCUGGUGUAGCGGUGAAAUGCGCAGAUAUCAGGAGGAACACCGGUGGCGAAGGCGGGUCUCUGGGUAGUAACUGACGCUGAGGAGCGAAAGCAUGGGUAGCGAACAG